UACGGGGGGUGCAAGCGUUGCUCGGAACCACUGGGCGUAAAGCGUCCGCAGGCGGACCGAACAGUCGGUGGUGAAAGCCCAAGGCUCAACCUUGGAACUGCCAUCGAUACUGCCGGUCUUGAGUUCGGGAGAGGGAAGCGGAAUUCCUGGUGUAGAGGUGAAAUUCGUAGAUAUCAGGAGGAACACCGGUGGCGAAGGCGGCUUCCUGGCCCGAAACUGACGCUUAUGGACGAAAGCGUGGGGAGCAAACAGG
rnacentral:rRNA from 1 species